UACGUAGGGGGCAAGCGUUGUCCGGAAUCAUUGGGCGUAAAGCGCGUGUAGGCGGCCAGGUAGGUCGGUUGUGAAAACUGGAGGCUCAACCUCCAGACGUCGACCGAAACCAUCUGGCUAGAGUCCGGAAGAGGAGAGUGGAAUUCCUGGUGUAGCGGUGAAAUGCGCAGAUAUCAGGAAGAACACCGAUGGCGAAGGCAGCUCUCUGGGACGGUACUGACGCUGAGACGCGAAAGCGUGGGGAGCGAACAGG
rnacentral:rRNA from 1 species